GAGGCCAGUCAGAGGUGCAGCAGAAAAUGGAUGAGCCUCCAGAAGAGGCUCCAGAUGGAUCCUUGAACAGUGAAAACCCAGGCCAGUCCCCAAAUAACCAGGAGACCUACAUAGAAGGAGGAGCAGGCCAGGCUCCUCAAAGAGGUUCUGAUGAUGCUGGGGUUGGACCAUCCGAGCAAACUGGUGACAAGGCAUCCAACCAAGAUGCUAGUGCAGGAUCCGGACAGACUGACCCAAGAACUUCAGAAGAGGCUUCUCAGCCGACUGACCACAGGUCCCCUGGUCACACUGACAGGAGACCAUCUCAGCAGGUUGACCGUAGAUCAUCUGGCCAGGCUGAGAGAAGAACUUCUAAGCCAACUAGUCAGCAACUGCCCAGCCUACACGAGAGAAAAGUCUCCGAGAAGAUAGAAGACCAAGCGUCUUUGCCAUCUGGUGGGAAAACUUCUGAGCAGGCUGAUGAAGGAACUGGGGAGUAUGGCGAGCACACCUUAUCAGACCAAGAUGACUAUAGAACAUCAGGAAAGAGUCAACGCCAGUUCACCAACCAAGCUGAUGUCCUGGAUGAAGAUGCCACUGAUCAACGUAAGUUUAGUGAAGGUUCAGAAAGGAACUAUGACAGUACUAGCCAUGAGACAGAAAAACCGGCUGACUACCGUUCAUACUACAAAACAAUUGCCCAGGCUGAGAACCGGUCGUUAGCUGAUAUCGGUGACACCAAAGAGGUCAAAGAAGCUGACUUCAAAAUAGAGCCUUGCACCUUUGAAGAUAGCCAAACGGACCUCAAAUCCAAGGUUUCAACUGCUGGGGAAACAGAAAGUACAACCACUAUCCAAGCUUACAACCUACACGAUACCGAAUUCACCAGUGACUCGCAGUCCUCGUACGAAAAACUGCCCUCCAUCACAACCAAAACGUACUAUUCCUCCAGCCAAGACAAAUUUCAAAGCACAGAAAUCACUACUGAUAUUCAAACCGAAAUUGAGCCAAGAAAGGGUUCUCAGAGAACCAGUCAAACCUACACGAGGCGGUUCCCUCCAAUCAUUUUUGAAGACCCUUACCAAGUUGCACUCCGCUACAUGGAAAAGCACAACAUUCUCCAGAUAUUCCAGCAUAUCACUGAAAACCUCGUCUAUGAAAAGCCGGAUGAUCCCCUGUAUUUCAUGCUCGACCAGGUACGGAGUGGGAGAGUGGACAACCCUUCUAUUCUCAUUGUCAGAAAACGACCUACACAGACAGACGAACAAAGCAAGCCAUGAACAGCUCCGAGUCGCCGUGAAGGAAACACACCGCAGCUUCCAUUCGAGAGUUUUCAUCGAAGUACAGAACAAAGCUAGGGAUGGUGGCUCACAUCGUGAACGCCAGUGCUCAGGAAGCAGAGGCAGACAGAUCUCUGUGAGUUCGAGGCCAGCUAGGGCUACGUAGUGAGACCCUGUCUCCAACUGAAAAAGAACAUCCCUGGCGUCACAGAAGCCUUCCUCAUCAUGACUUCCCACGAAGGAAUUGCUUAUUUUGACCUUUGCAAUAACUUGCUCACUUUUCUUUAAAAUAUUACUGCUGAACAUGAAUCGUGAAACACUUCUAUUUAGACCUGCAAGCUCUCUGAAUUGAACUAUCUAUGCUCAGUACUGUUUUUGUCUUACCUCUUUUGCCCAAAAUUAUGUCUAUGAGAUGGAUCCAUCUAUUGUGUUCAUGCAUUUUUGUCACUCCAUGCUAUUCAUCACGUAGAAUACUACGGCUGAGCCAUUCUUUUUUUUUUCAUGGACAUGCAGAUUAUUUCCCAUUUGGAGCUAUUACAAAAAAAUCUUGCUGUGAGCUUUCCCAUUCAUGUCGUUCAGUGAACGACACUGCUUGCUUUAAUCACCGGAUUGUAGAACACGUAUUUGCUUAGCUUCACAUGGAGUGUUUUCAUUUUCCAACAUGAGUGCACCAGUGUGCACCCCUUCCCCCGGCAGCUCUGUGGCUUUCCCAGUGUUCACUGUCGCCACUGUGUUUAGCCUUGGCUGUUCAGGUACAGGAGAUGAUCAGAUACAGGGAACAGCGGCGAAGCAUCUGAAGACGAGCCUCUCGCCAGCCUCGUGUCCUCUGCCAUCGGUGGCCGCGCUGCGCUCGGCUCUCACACGACAAAUGUGUUUUCAGUAGGCAUUGGUGGUGACUCUGCCUAAAUGUGUUCUCGAUUUUUAGAUAAAGAUACUGCCUGCUGAUGUCAGCCUGGAAGAUGAGCUGAAAGCUGAUUGACCAGCGGGAACCUAUGGAACAAACUAGAGUGAUGUAAACUAAUUGUGCGGUCGAACAAAAUAACCUAAGGACUGAGAGGCCAUUCCUAUUAUUAGUGACAGGAAUAUGGAGUAUUAGCCAUGGUGUAUUAGCAUUGAAUCCAUGCCAGGUUGGUGCUGCAUACUUUUAAUUCUAGCAUUUAAAAACCAAAGAAGGACAAUCUGAAGUCCAAGACCAGCCUGGGCUAUGUAACAAGAUGAUCUCAAAUAUAAAAGGAAACAAAAAGGGGCCUGAUAAAAUGGCUCAGUGCAUAAAAGCACUUUCCUCAAAAGCCGGACAACCUGAGGUCAACCCCUGAAUCCCACAGUCAAAUGAAGGAACUGACUCUGGGAGAGGGUAAAAAAGUUGUCCUCUGACCUCUACACUGUCAUUGCGGUGUACGUGUCCCACCAUGUCUUCCCCCACACCACCAUGCCCUCACCACACAUGCAUCAUUCACAUGCCACACACAGACCUUCACAGCAAUAAUAAUACUAAAGAAAAAUCAACGUUGAAGCAUUGAAUUUAGUUCAUGUUUGGCCCUAGUAUUAGCAAGUUUUCUCAAGUUUCUAGAGGCAGGGCAGAACACCUCAGAUCCAACCUCUCCGGCAGCUGCAGCUCCACCCUUAGGUUGUUUCAGAUGCCUUUCGUCACGGUCAUCGUCCAUUUGUGACCUUCCAUAGAGAGGCAGUGGACCAAAGGGGACCAGCUGCCUAUGAUUCCUUCUGCACGUAGUUACCUGAGAAAGAAGAAGAUGUACACAACACUUCACACGCAGUGACUCAGGCUCUCUCCAGAAAGGCAUCCAGUGCAGAUCGACCAAAAGGAGUCCCUCAGCAGCAGGAAGUAGUCCCUCACAGGCCAGAAGUAAACACUCAACGUGGGAAUCUGAGAGCUGACAACUGUGGAACAGAAACGGGUUGGGGGGACAGGUGGGACUCUCGAAACUGGCCCUUUAUGAGUAAAAUGCAGAGAAAGUCUCAGUGGACAGUAAACUGAGAUUGGAA